UACGGAGGGGGCUAGCGUUGUCCGGAAUCAUUGGGCGUAAAGCGCGUGUAGGCGGUCCGGUAAGUCCGCUGUGAAAGUCGGGGGCUCAACCCUCGAAUGCCGGUGGAUACUGUCGGGCUAGAGUGCGGAAGAGGCGAGUGGAAUUCCUGGUGUAGCGGUGAAAUGCGCAGAUAUCAGGAGGAACACCAAUUGCGAAGGCAGCUCGCUGGGACGUAACUGACGCUGAGACGCGAAAGCGUGGGGAGCAAACAGG
rnacentral:rRNA from 1 species